UACGUAGGGUGCGAGCGUUGUCCGGAAUUAUUGGGCGUAAAGAGCUUGUAGGUGGCUCGUUGCGUCGGGAGUGAAAACCUGCGGCUUAACCGCAGGCCUGCUUCCGAUACGGGCGAGCUAGAGUUCGGCAGGGGAGACUGGAAUUCCGUGGUGUAGCGGUGGAAUGCGCAGAUAUCAGGAGGAACACCGGUGGCGAAGGCGGGUCUCUGGGCCGAUGACUGACACUGAGAAGCGAAAGCGUGGGGAGCGAACAGG
rnacentral:rRNA from 1 species